UACGGAGGGGGCUAGCGUUGUUCGGAAUUACUGGGCGUAAAGCGCACGUAGGCGGCUUUGUAAAGUUAGAGGUGAAAGCCCGGGGCUCAACUCCGGAAUUGCCUUUAAGACUGCAUCGCUAGAAUUGUGGAGAGGUGAGUGGAAUUCCGAGUGUAGAGGUGAAAUUCGUAGAUAUUCGGAAGAACACCAGUGGCGAAGGCGACUCACUGGACACAUAUUGACGCUGAGGUGCGAAAGCGUGGGGAGCCAAACAGG
rnacentral:rRNA from 1 species